rnacentral:rRNA from 1 species
UGCGUAGGCGGGUCUUUAAGUCAGGGGUGAAAUCCUGGAGCUCAACUCCAGAACUGCCUUUGAUACUGAGGAUCUUGAGUUCGGGAGAGGUGAGUGGAACUGCGAGUGUAGAGGUGAAAUUCGUAGAUAUUCGCAAGAACACCAGUGGCGAAGGCGGCUCACUGGCCCGAUACUGACGCUGAGGCAAAGCUGGGGAGCAAACA